UACGUAGGCAGCGAGCGUUGUUCGGAGUUACUGGGCGUAAAGAGCUCGUAGGCGGCUUGUCACGUCGGGUGUGAAAGCCCGGGGCUUAACCCCGGGUCUGCAUUCGAUACGGGCAGGCUAGAGUGUGGUAGGGGAGAUCGGAAUUCCUGGUGUAGCGGUGAAAUGCGCAGAUAUCAGGAGGAACACCGGUGGCGAAGGCGGAUCUCUGGGCCAUUACUGACGCUGAGGAGCGAAAGCGUGGGGAGCGAACAGG
rnacentral:rRNA from 1 species